AAAAGGAAGAAGAGAAGGAAAGGAGAAAAGAAAGAAAGAAAAGAAGGGAGAGAAGAUGAAACCGAGAAGAGAGAGAGAGAAGAGUAGAGAGCAAUGAAGGUGGCUAGAAAAGUGGCCGCCGGUGAGCAAACUCCUAUGACCGGAAGGAGUAGAGGAGGAUUAAGCAUGUGGGAGGGAGAUCUUUGCAUGGAGAGGUCAUUGGAUUUCAAAUAAAGGAAGACAAGUGCAGACAAUGUUAGAGGAUUCCGAUCCCUUCUUCGAAUCAAGAAUUUAGCUUCAAAAGAAUUGCAUACAGUGUAUAUGUGAGGCGCUUGCUAUACGCAUUCGGUUGGCUAAUAGACAUAUGUUCAUUAGCAUGAUGUUUAUACACAUUAGAAGCACUCUGAUACAUUUGCUCUGUAAACUGUUUUCUAAGAUUUACGUUUUUAAAACCAUGUUUCGUGUUACACUAUUGUCAUUAAAGUUUUUA